UUGAGGACUUCUAAGCCCUCUCACAUCAUCCAUCUAUUCCCAUUGAACCGAACCUUGCUUCAUAGUCACACUAAUCGCCAAAAGAGUUUCUGGCUAAGUGAGACCAAAGUACUCAUAACAACAAGCAUCUGUCAUCUACCAUAAUACUCUCUACUAUGGAUUUUAAUUGGUAGCAAUGAUUUCAAAACUUGACUGCUGUUGAGUUUUAGAUGAAUCAUCUUACCCAGCCCCUGCCCAUGCCUCCAACUGCAUCUUGAGCUACUCUCCAUUUGCUGAGGGCAUUUGCUCAGGACACUCCAGCUCCACUAGCCUUUUCCAGCUCCUCCAGCACUACGCUGACCUCCUUCCAACUCAUCCAACACAUCAAACUACUUCCUGCCUCAGAGCCUUCCCUCUGCUUGGACAUCUUUUUCUCCAUUUCUUGCUUGACCAACUUGUUUCUACUCAACUUCCAGAUUCCUGUUUUAAGGUUGGUUUUAAGAGCAGCCUUCUGAGAUCCUCCCAAGGUCAAGGGUUAGUCACCUGGUAAGAAGCUGCCAAUUGCAAAUAAGAGUGUGCACUUGCUGGAUGUCUUCUGUUUGCUCUCUUGACCCACCUUCUACCAUUCCCCACCUUCUUCUUUGCCUCCGGAAGGGAGCUUUCUGGACUGCACCAACAAGCUACUUUGUCCUCUGGCUUGUCCUCGGAUUCAGUCAGUGGGAGGUACCCACAAGGUGACUUAGAAGGCAGAAGAGGAAUGAGGUAAGGCACUUGGUCAUGUAAACAGAUCAUUGUCGUUUUCAAUGUGAAGUUACUUGGCUGCCUUGGAAAAAAGUUUAAUCAUUGGGAUACUGCUUCAGCAUUUUCUCCAAGAAGUUCAUUCACAAGGCUAGGCCAAGAGGGAGGCAGAGCAAGACAGCUGGAUAGAAGCCUCCACCAAUCACCCUGCUCACAGCAACACCAAAAUGAACAAUUAUCCAUAAAAAAAAAAGGAACUUAACAAGAACCAAAAGUCAGCACCUGAAAGCAGGGAGGAGACAGUACAGUGAGGAAAAGCAUCUGACAAGGCCAGCUGGGGCAGAGGAUGGGAAGGAUGGAGACACCUUGGUUUGGAAGGCUAGGAAGCAGGCAAAGACUGGCUGUCACUUCAAAUCACUAACCGGGCCCACUGAUUCCAUCUACAAUCCUAACCCACCUCCUCGGGACUCCCUAUGCCUUCCUACCAGUGAAAUGCGAAAUAGCAGCACCUACCACAGCCAAGAGAGCACUUAACACAACAGCAGUUUAUGGACACGAAGAAGAGAAGGGAGAAUAAAGAGGAAAAUGAUGUUGAUCUAAAAGUCUCACUCUGGUCCCUUUUAUAAUAGAUAUUUUACUUUGAAAUAAACA
rnacentral:lncRNA from 10 species